UUUGCUUGCCUUGUUGAUCUGUGGCAAAGGGCUGAUCGGCAGGGUCGUAGGUGUACCCGGUAGCAGCCUCAGUCUCGGGGUCUGAUACGUCUCCAACGUAUCUAUAAUUUUUGAUGGUUUCAUGCUAUUAUCUUGUCAAACUUUGGAUGUUUUGUAUGCCUUUUAUAUAUUUUUUUGGGACUAACUUAUUAACUCAGUGACAAGUGUCAGUUCCUGUUUUUUCCAUGGUUUUGACCCCUUCGAGAGGGGAUUUUGAAACGGAGUCCAAACGCAAGAAAAUCCCCGAAAAGAUUUUUCUGGAACGGAAGAAGAUCUGUUAGCUUGGGAGCCAAGGCAUGGGAGCCUCAGGGGCCCCACAAGCCCCC
rnacentral:lncRNA from 1 species